AGGGCACCACCAGGAGUGGAGCCUGCGGCUUAAUUUGACUCAACACGGGGAAACUCACCCGGCCCGGACACCGGAAGGAUUGACAGAUUGAUAGCUCUUUCUUGAUUCGGUGGAUGGUGGUGCAUGGCCGUUCUUAGUUGGUGGAGCGAUCUGUCUGGUUAAUUCCGAUAACGAACGAGACUCUAGUCUAUUAAAUAGACGUCGGGUUCUCUGCACUCGACGGUCUUCUUAGAGGGACAAGGUGCUUUUAGCACCGCGAAACAGAGCAAUAACAGGUCUGUGAUGCCCUUAGAUGUCCGGGGCCGCACGCGCGCUACACUGAAGGAAGCAGCGUGUAACAACCUUGUUCUAACGAACUGGGUAACCCGUGGAACUUCCUUCAUGAUUGGGAUAGGGGUUUGCAAUUGUGCCCCUUGAACGAGGAAUUCCCAGUAAACACUAGUCAUCAGCUAGUGCUGAUUACGUCCCUGCCCUUUGUACACACCGCCCGUCGCUACUACCGAUUGAAUGGUUUAGUGA
rnacentral:rRNA from 1 species